rnacentral:rRNA from 1 species
UACGUAGGGUGCAAGCGUUAAUCGGAAUUACUGAGCGUAAAGCGUGCGCAGGCGGUUUUGUAAGUCUGAUGUGAAAUCCCCGGGCUCAACCUGGGAAUUGCGUUGGAGACUGCAAGGCUAGAAUCUGGCAGAGGGGGGUAGAAUUCCACGUGUAGCAGUGAAAUGCGUAGAGAUGUGGAGGAACACCGAUGGCGAAGGCAGCCCCCUGGGUCAAGAUUGACGCUCAUGCACGAAAGCGUGGGGAGCAAACAGG